AAAAUGCGAUAAGUAAUGUGAAUUGCAGAAUUCAGUGAAUCAUCGAAUCUUUGAACGCACAUUGCGCCCGCCAGUAUUCUGGCGGGCAUGCCUGUCUGAGCGUCAUUUCAACCCUCGGGACCCAGUUCGCGGGACCCGGCGUUGGGGAUCAGCCCGAAGCCCCCCGGGGCGGGCGGCUGGCCCCGAAAUCUAGUGGCGGUCCCCCCAGCGACCUCCUCUGCGCAGUAGUAACUCACCUCGCAGCUGGACAGCGGGAGGGCCACGCCGUAAAACCCCCAACUUCUCAAAGGUUGACCUCAGAUCAGGUAGGAAUACUCGCUGAACUUAAGC
rnacentral:misc_RNA from 1 species